CCUACGGGAGGCAGCAGUGAGGAAUAUUGGUCAAUGGACGAGAGUCUGAACCAGCCAAGUAGCGUGAAGGAUGACUGCCCUAUGGGUUGUAAACUUCUUUUAUAUGGGAAUAAAAUGUUCCACGUGUGGGAUUUUGUAUGUACCAUAUGAAUAAGGAUCGGCUAACUCCGUUCCAGCAGCCGCGGUAAUACGGAGGAUCCGGGCGUUAUCCGGAUUUAUUGGGUUUAAAGGGGGCGUAGGUGGAUUGUUAAGUCAGUUGUGAAAGUUUGCGGCUCAACCGUAAAAUUGCAGUUGAAACUGGCAGUCUUGAGUACAGUAGAGGUGGGCGGAAUGCGUGGUGUAGCGGUGAAAUGCUUAGAUAUCACGAAGAACUCCGAUUGCGAAGGCAGUUCACUGGACUGCAACUGACACUGAGGCUCGAAAGUGUGGGUAUCAAACAGGAUUAGAUACCCCGGUAGUC
rnacentral:rRNA from 1 species